GCUUACGGCCACACACCUGAACACGCCGAUCUCGUCUGAUCUCGGAAGCUAAGCAGGGCGGGCCUGGUUAGUACUUGGAUGGGAGACCGCUGGGAAUACCAGGUGCUGUAAGUU
rnacentral:rRNA from 1 species